UACGUAGGGCGCGAGCGUUGUCCGGAAUGAUUGGGCGUAAAGCGUCUGUAGGUGGCUUUUUAAGUCCGCCGUCAAAUCCCAGGGCUCAACCCUGGACAGGCGGUGGAAACUACCAAGCUGGAGUACGGUAGGGGCAGAGGGAAUUUCCGGUGGAGCGGUGAAAUGCGUAGAGAUCGGAAAGAACACCAACGGCGAAGGCACUCUACUGGGCCACUACUGACACUGAGAGACGAAAGCUAGGGGAGCAAAUGGG
rnacentral:rRNA from 1 species